CCUACGGGAGGUAGCAGUGAGGAAUAUUGGUCAAUGGGCGCGAGCCUGAACCAGCCAAGUAGCGUGAAGGAUGACUGCCCUACGGGUUGUAAACUUCUUUUAUCAAGGAAUAAAGUGAGGCACGUGUGCCUUUUUGUAUGUACUUUAUGAAUAAGGAUCGGCUAACUCCGUGCCAGCAGCCGCGGUAAUACGGAGGAUCCGAGCGUUAUCCGGAUUUAUUGGGUUUAAAGGGAGCGUAGAGGGGUGGUUAAGUCAGUUGUGAAAGUUUGGGGCUCAACCGUAAAAUUGCAAUUGAUACUGGCAGCCUUGAGUAGAGUUGAGGUAGGCGGAAUUCGUGGUGUAGCGGUGAAAUGCUUAGAUAUCACGAAGAACUCCGAUUGCGAAGGCAGCUUACUAAGCUGCCACUGACAUUGAGGCUCGAGAGUGGGGGUAUCAAACAGGAUUAGAUACCCAGUAGUC
rnacentral:rRNA from 1 species